GGGUUAGUGGCGCACGGGUGCGUAACGCGUGGGAACCUGCCUUUAGGUUCGGAAUAACUCAGAGAAAUUUGAGCUAAUACCGGAUAAUGUCUUCGGACCAAAGAUUUAUCGCCUUUAGAUGGGCCCGCGUUAGAUUAGAUAGUUGGUGGGGUAAUGGCCUACCAAGUCGACGAUCUAUAGCUGGUCUGAGAGGAUGAUCAGCCACACUGGGACUGAGACACGGCCCAGACUCCUACGGGAGGCAGCAGUGGGGAAUAUUGGACAAUGGGCGAAAGCCUGAUCCAGCAAUGCCGCGUGAGUGAUGAAGGCCUUAGGGUUGUAAAGCUCUUUUACCAGGGAUGAUAAUGACAGUACCUGGAGAAUAAGCUCCGGCUAACUCCGUGCCAGCAGCCGCGGUAAUACGGAGGGAGCUAGCGUUGUUCGGAAUUACUGGGCGUAAAGCGCGCGUAGGCGGCUUUUCAAGUCAGGGGUGAAAUCCCGGGGCUCAACCCCGGAACUGCCCUUGAAACUGGAUGGCUAGAAUACUGGAGAGGUGAGUGGAAUUCCGAGUGUAGAGGUGAAAUUCGUAGAUAUUCGGAAG
rnacentral:rRNA from 1 species